rnacentral:ncRNA from 1 species
UCGCUGUCUGGGCGAGCCCCGGGAAAAGUUUUCUUUUCUCUGUAAGGAGAUCGAGUCCCUGGAAUGGGUUCGCCCCGAGAUAGGGAUGGUGGCUCCGUAGAGCAGUGCGGCUCUUGCGCUGUCCGGUGCGCUCGCGUCGGCCCUUGAAAAUCCGAGUGAGGGAGUGUGAUUUUCGUGCCGGACCGUACCCACAACCGCAGCAGGUCUCCAAGGUGAACAGCCUCCAGUCGAUGGACCAAUGUAGGUAAGGGAAGUCGGCAAAACGGAUCCGUAACCUUGGGAUAAGGAUUGGCUCUGAGGACUGAGCCGGUCGGGCUGAGGACCUGAAGCAGGAACGGCACUGCACCGGGACUGGGCGGGGCUCGCCGUUCACGCGGCGCGGCCAAGCCCGCACCAGCGUCGGGACCUUCCUGUGUAAGGUCCCGGCGCUGAACUGCUAGGCAAGCAGUGUUGCUUGCCUAGCAGCAAUUGAACACAAACCGAACGUUUAUCAGAAAAGGGAAAAACACCACAAAAGU